rnacentral:rRNA from 1 species
UACGUAGGGGGCAAGCGUUAUCCGGAUUUACUGGGUGUAAAGGGAGCGUAGACGGUGAUGCAAGUCAGAAGUGAAAGGCCGGGGCUCAACCCCGGGACUGCAUUGGAAACUGGCAUGCUAGAGUGCCGGAGGGGCAAGCGGAAUUCCUAGUGUAGCGGUGAAAUGCGUAGAUAUUAGGAGGAACACCAGUGGCGAAGGCGGCUUACUGGACUGUAAAUGACGCUGAGGCUCGAAAGCGUGGGGAGCAAACAGG